UAUAAAAAGCCGCGCCCGGGAGAAUUCAGCCCCGCCCCCGGGUUCCCUCCAGAAUAUAGUUUGAUCCUGGCUCCGGACGAACGCUGGCGGCGUGCUUAACACAUGCAAGUCGAACGAGACGAUUGAAAGCUUGCUUUUGAGAAUCGAGUGGCAAACGGGUGAGUAACGCGUAGACAACCUGCCUUUGAGAUGGGGACAACAGUCCGAAAGGACUGCUAAUACCGAAUGUUGUGGAACUUCCGCAUGGAAGCUCCAUCAAAGAUGACCUCUUCCUGAAAGUUAUCGCUCAAAGGUGGGUCUGCGUCUGAUUAGCUAGUUGGUGGGGCAACGGCCUACCAAGGCGACGAUCAGUAGCCGGUCUGAGAGGAUGAACGGCCACAUUGGAACUGAGACACGGUCCAGACUCCUACGGGAGGCAGCAGUGGGGAAUCUUCCGCAAUGGGCGAAAGCCUGACGGAGCAACGCCGCGUGAGUGAAGAAGGCCUUCGGGUCGUAAAGCUCUGUUGUCGGGGACGAAUGUAGCGCUUAUCAACAACGAGUGCUAAUGACGGUACCUGACGAGGAAGCCACGGCUAACUACGUGCCAGCAGCCGCGGUAAUACGUAGGUGGCGAGCGUUGUCCGGAAUUAUUGGGCGUAAAGGGAGCGCAGGCGGGAGGCCAAGUCCAUCCUAAAAGUUCGGGGCUCAACCCCGUGAGGGGAUGGAAACUGGUCUUCUUGAGUGCAGGAGAGGAAAGCGGAAUUCCUAGUGUAGCGGUGAAAUGCGUAGAUAUUAGGAGGAACACCAGUGGCGAAAGCGGCUUUCUGGACUGUAACUGACGCUGACGCUCGAAAGCCAGGGGAGCGAACGGGAUUAGAUACCCCGGUAGUCCUGGCCGUAAACGAUGAAUGCUAGGUGUAGGAGGUAUCGACCCCUCCUGUGCCGGAGUUAACGCAAUAAGCAUUCCGCCUGGGGAGUACGGCCGCAAGGCUGAACUCAAAGGAAUUGACGGGGGCCCGCACAAGCGGUGGAGUAUGUGGUUUAAUUCGACGCAACGCGAAGAACCUUACCAGGGCUUGACAUCGAGUGAACGGCAAGAAGAUGUCCUCCUUCUCUUCGGGAGAACCGAAGACAGGUGGUGCAUGCUGUCGUCAGCUCGUGUCUGAGAUGUGGGUAGUCGGCACGAGCGCACUCCUAUUCUGGUGCCAGCCGCAGUGGAACUCAGAAAGACUGCCGACAUGAGAAGCUAGAUGACGUCAGUCAUCAUGUCCUUAGGUUCUGUGGCUACACACCGG
rnacentral:rRNA from 1 species